rnacentral:rRNA from 1 species
AUUGAACGCUGGCGGCAGGCCUAACACAUGCAAGUCGAACGAGUGGCGGCCGGGUGAGUAAUGUCUGGGCAACUGCCUGAUGGCGGGGGUUAACUACUGGAAACGGUAGCUAAUACCGCAUACCAUCAGAUUUGCCCAGAUGGGAUUAGCGAGCUGGUGGGGUAACGGCUCACCAAGGCGACGAUCCCUACCUGGCCUGAGAGGAUGACCAGCAAAACUGGAACUGGGAAACGGGCCAGACUACAACGGGAGGAAGCAGUGGGGAAUAUUGCACAAUGGAAGCAAGCCGGAUGGAGCCAUGCCGCGUGUAUGAAGAAGGCGUUCGGGUGUGAAAGUACUUUAAGCGGGGAGGCGUUACCCGCAGAAGAAGCACCGGCUAACUACGUGCCAGCAGCCGCGGUAAUAC